rnacentral:lncRNA from 1 species
CUACAGGGGCUUUUAUAUGGGUCCUAUAGGGGCCUCUAUAUGGGUCCUAUAGGGGCCUCUAUAUGGGGCGUAGUGAUGGAUCCUAUAGGGGCUUCUAUAUGGGUCCUAUAGGGGCCUCUAUAUGGGGCAUAGCAAUGGGUCCUAUAGGGGCCUCUAUAUGGGGCGUAGUGAUGGAUCCUAUAGGACUUCCUGCACCUAUAGCCACCUUACAGGACACAUAUAGGGUUCGUAUAUAGACCCACUUUCCCUAUAUACACCCUAUACAACAUAUAUAGGGUUUCUAUACGACCCUAUUUUACAUAUAUAUAUAUAUAUGACCCUAUAUUAUCUAUAUCCCCCCUAUAAGACACAUAUAGGGUUCCUAUAUAGAUCCACUUCCCCUAUAUACACUCUAUACAACAUAUAUGGGGUCACUAUAGGACCCUAUAUUAUCUUUACCCACCUUAUAGGGCACAUAUAGGGUUUCUAUAGGGUUCUAUACCCUAUACAACACAUAUAGGGUUCCUAUAUGACCCUAUAUUAUCUAUACCCCCCUUUUAGGGCACAUAUAGGGUUUCUAUAGGGUUCUAUACCCUAUACAACAUAUAUAGGACUCCUAUAUGACCCUAUAUUAUCUAUACCCCCCGUAUAGGGCACAUAUAGGGUUUCUAUAGGGUUCUCCUUUCCCUAUAUAUACCCUAUACAACACAUACAGGGUUCCUAUAUGACCCUAUAUUAUCUAUACCCCCCUUAUAAGACACAUAUAGGGUUCCUAUAUAGAUCCACUUCCCCUAUAUAAGACACGUAUAGGGUUUCUAUAGGGUUCUCCUAUACCUAUAUAUACCCUAUACAACAUAUAUAGGGUUCCUAUAUGACCCUAUAUUAUCUAUAACCCCUUAUAGGGCACAUAUAGGGUU